AGCAACUCAUUCAGGAAGCGAUGCUGGCGCAUCAAAGGCCGGGGAGAUGGGAGCAGAGGCAGAAGAAAGAAAGAAAGAAAGAAAGAAAGAAAGAAAGAAAGAAAGAAAGAAAGAAAGAAGAAAGAAAGACUGAAUUUAAGAUGAUGGUGGACCAUCUUGGCUGGAAUGCUAUGAAUCUCAGACACACAUUUUGGAUCAAGAAGAGGAAGCCAAGUACUGAAAAUGGUGGCGCAGGAAGACUGAAAAAAUAUGUAUCCCUCACUACCUUGUCAACUAUUCAACCAAUGGAACUGCCGAUUCCAGACUUUUUCACAUGAGCAAGAAAUAAACAUCUUUCUUCUUUAGUCCACUCUUACUUUUGAGAGCUCUAACUUGCCAUUGAACUGAAAUCUAAGUAGAUUAGGAAUCAUCCACAGAGAGGAGGUGAUGGAGGGAGAGGUGAGUUAUUCAGGAAAAGUAAAGCUAAAGUCCAAGGCUGCUUUGUGAACAGUCACAGGGAGGCACUCUCGAAAGAAACGAAAUAGAACACAUGGCAAGAGAGGCACAGUAGUGGACAAUAUCAUGGAAUCCAAGAGGAGAAAGAGUCUCAAGAAGGGGUUGCCAUGGAAGUUUAGUGAUUCAGAACGUUCAAGUGGAAUAAAGACUGAAAAUGGACUCUAGGUUUGUCCGUCAGGAGGUUAUUGAUAGCCCUUGAGAAUAUGGUGCAAGUAAGAUGAUUUGAAUGGAGGCCAGAGUCUAGAAGAUUGAGAACAGAGUAAGUGCUAAGUAAGUGGAAAAUCUUGAUAGUGAAAGAAAUGGGAUGAAAUAGAAUGGUAGCUGGAGAAGCCGGUAAAACUAAUUUAUUUGAUUUUGUCUUAAAACAGAAGAGAUUGCCUGCAUAUCUACGGAAAAUUAAUUUAUGAUAGAAACCAAGGACAUCUAAUGGGGAAAGGGCAGUCUCUUCAAUAACUGGCGCUGGGAAAACUGGACAGCCUCAUGCAAAAGAAUGUAACAAGAUGGCUGUAUUAUACUGUGAACAAAGAUGAACUCAAAUGGAUUGAAGACUUGAAUGUAAGACCUGAAACCAUAAAACUCCUAGAAGAAAACAGAGGCAGCAAGUUCCAUGACAUUAAUCUGAGUGGUGUAUUUGUAAAUCUAGCACAAAAGACAAAGGAAACAAAAGGGAAAUAAACAAGUGGGACAACAUCAAAUUAAAAAGCUUCUGCACAGUGAAGGAGCCAUCAU